rnacentral:lncRNA from 1 species
AAAUACACAUUGCCACUCAAUCUGUAUUCAUCUUGUGACAUCUCCUUGGAAGAAGGAGAGAGGGACCCUAGGAGGGACAUGAAAUCCUGAUAAGACAGACAAUCAGAUGGUAUGGCCUCUGAGGACCCCCAAGACCAACUGUAUGAGGCUAUUAAAAAGGUAGAAUGCCUUGCUGAGGAGCUCAACCAAGAGGACCCACAAGCCCAACUGGACGAGGCCAUUAAUGAGGCAAAAAGGCUGGCUGAGGAGCUCAACCAAGAGGACCCACAAGCCCAACUGGACAAGGCCAUUAAUGAGGCAAAAAGGCUGGCUGAGGAGCUCAACCCAGAACAGGAAAAUAAGAAGAAAAAGACAAACAAGCCUCCAGGGAUUAGGUUCAGAUGGAGACAAAGGGAUGAGAGAGGACAGAUUGUUCCUCAAACCAGGAAGGCAACUACAUCCACUUCUCUUGCUCCAAGGGCCAGUACAUCGAGAGCCAGACUAGUGUAA